rnacentral:rRNA from 1 species
UUUACCAGACCCGGUAGGCGCGGGGCCUUAGUGGCGGACGGGUGAGUAACGCGUGGGGAACCUGCCCCGUACCGGGGGAUAACACCUGGAAACAGGUGCUAAUACCGCAUAACAGAAGGGGACGCAUGUUUCUUUCUUGAAAACUCCGGUGGUACGGGAUGGACCCGCGUCUGAUUAGCUGGUUGGCGGGGUAACGGCCCACCAAGGCGACGAUCAGUAGCCGGCCUGAGAGGGCGGACGGCCACAUUGGGACUGAGACACGGCCCAAACUCCUACGGAAGGCAGCAG